CACGUAGGGCGCAAGCGUUGUCCGGAAUUAUUGGGCGUAAAGAGCUCGUAGGUGGUUUGUUACGUCUGCUGUGAAAUCCUAGGGCUUAACCCUGGGCUUGCAGUGGAUACGGGCAGACUAGAGGUAGGUAGGGGAGAAUGGAAUUCCUGGUGUAGCGGUGAAAUGCGCAGAUAUCAGGAGGAACACCGGUGGCGAAGGCGGAUCUCUGGGCCUUACCUGACGCUGAGGCGCGAAAGCUAGGGGAGCGAACAGG
rnacentral:rRNA from 1 species